CCUACGGGUGGCAGCAGUGGGGAAUAUUGCACAAUGGGCACAAGCCUGAUGCAGCCAUGCCGCGUGUGUGAAGAAGGCCUUCGGGUUGUAAAGCACUUUCAGCGGGGAGGAAGGCGGUGAGGUUAAUAACCUCAUCGAUUGACGUUACCCGCAGAAGAAGCACCGGCUAACUCCGUGCCAGCAGCCGCGGUAAUACGGAGGGUGCAAGCGUUAAUCGGAAUUACUGGGCGUAAAGCGCACGCAGGCGGUCUGUCAAGUCGGAUGUGAAAUCCCCGGGCUCAACCUGGGAACUGCAUUCGAAACUGGCAGGCUAGAGUCUUGUAGAGGGGGGUAGAAUUCCAGGUGUAGCGGUGAAAUGCGUAGAGAUCUGGAGGAAUACCGGUGGCGAAGGCGGCCCCCUGGACAAAGACUGACGCUCAGGUGCGAAAGCGUGGGGAGCAAACAGGAUUAGAUACCCGUGUAGUC
rnacentral:rRNA from 1 species